CGAAGGGGGCGAGCGUUAUUCGGAAUCACUGGGCGUAAAGCGUGCGUAGGCUGUCUCGCAAGUUGGGAGUGAAAUCCCGGGGCUCAACCCCGGAAUUGCUUUCAAAACUGCGGGACUCGAAUUCGGGAGAGGAUAGCGGAAUUCCCAGUGUAGUAGUGAAAUACGUAGAUAUUGGGAGGAACACCAGUGGCGCAAGCGGCUAUCUGGACCGACAUUGACGCUGAGGCACGAAAGCGUGGGGAUCAAACAGGAUUAGAUACCCUGGUAGUCCACGCUGUAAACGAUGCGAGUUUGUCGCCGGGAGGUUUUCCUUUCGGUGACGCAGCUAACGCGAUAAACUCGCCGCCUGGGAAGUACGGCCGCAAGGUUA
rnacentral:rRNA from 1 species